rnacentral:lncRNA from 1 species
GAGGGAAGAGCCCUCCUGACUUGUAAUUUCACUUUAUUUUGCAGGAUUGCAAGGGUAAUAAAAACAGGAGAAAAAUGACGACAAACUGCUCCACUUCUAAUGACAUCAGGAGGUUUGAAUCUGACAUUGAUGGGAUACUUUGAGAAGCCACCAUCAAUUCUCUCAAUUCAACCUUCCUUUUUGCCUUCCCUCUGGACUCAGAACACAGGACUGAAGAGAAGAUGUAACAACAGCUCACUAUCACCUCAUCUUCAGUGAAGAGUCUGCAAAGGUGGAAUUUCUCCAAAAGCGAAUAUUCUCAGUUAUAUUUGAGUUGUUUGAUGUUCCCUUCCUUGUUUUCUCAACUGCAAUAGAAGUAACUGAACAUCAUACCACUAAAAUCACUGACUGUGAUAGCUUCAGCUGGAGUUUUCCAGAUGUGCCUGAGUAGACUGCUUUUGAUGGUCAUUCAUAACUGUCAACUUAAAUAACAAUAUCAAAAUAUUCUUGAGUGCUUUCUUUGUUGUGGAAACCAAAGAAUAUAUGUUAGGCAUUCCUCCAGAAGGGAGAGCCAAGGUGAGUCCUGCUUUCCUUAGCUGAUCUUUGUCUCUCUUGAAACUGCCAAGCCUGAGCUCAGUGAUACCUCAGUGAACUACCUUACUGUACACAGUCAAGGUGCUGUCAUUUGUUUAUAUCAUCUAAAUGACCUUCACAAUGAUUCUGUGCUUUUUGUUUUUUUGUUUGUUUGUAUUUUUGUUUUUUUAAGGAAAGGCUUUAUUUUCUUUUGAAGACAUAAUUUAGCAGCAACUUGUACCCAUCUCAUGCAACAGUGACACUGCUGCUUUGCUCCACUUGUGCAGGUGAUAUCUGAUUUCUUUCAACCUUAUGUGGAUUUUUUUGGCUAACAAACCAAUGAGAUUUGGACACUAUUAGUUGUAUCUCAAUUUCUGUCAUGACAAUACCAAUUUGUUGCUCUACUCAUGAUAACACUACCACUACACCUCGUGUUUCUGUUACCACUUACGUUUCUCACCCCUGUUUUCUCCAAGUUUGGUAAAUGAUGCAGAAGGAUAAAGCCUCUUUUUAGAGGAG